rnacentral:lncRNA from 1 species
UUCCUCCCCUCUCAUGUGCCCGCUGCCGCUCAGGUAGGUCACCCCCGCCAUAGCAGUUGCCUGUCCGCCAUGAUCCGAGCGAGCUCGUGCUCGACCUCGGGGUAGUAUUUCCGCCACGCCUCCGCUCUUUUGGUGCGCGGGAAGGGUGCCAUGUUGCUUCUUCUUCUUCCCCAGCGAACGAGGGAGCACCAAGGCCCAGCUCAUUGCCAUCCUCGCCCCCCAUUUCUUCCUCUUCUAGGUUCAGAUAUGCGUUGGAGUUUGUCUACGCCUCGCCGUCACCUCGACGAGCCCCGCGCAGCCUCUCCAUGUCCUAGGUAUAGUAAGUCUAGCCCUCUCUUUCUCUGCCAAAUCCCUCGCGCUCUAGUUUCCCCUCCGAAUAGUGAUCUUCGUGCCAACAGCGAGUUCUCAGUGCUCUGGCCAAUCCCCGUUUUUUUCUGUGGAUGUUUGCCGGGACCAGCCCGCUCCCUAGCUUGCGCUCCUGCCGCUGCCCUUGCCUCUCCGCUCUUAUGUUCGCGUAUUGCAGAAGCACAACAUGCCCAUAGCCCCGCGCACGCCCCUAUUUCUCCUCGUCGUGCAUGCUUGACCCUGUAGCCGCUGUGACCGAGGCAAGCUCGAGCUCAUCCUCGAGUAUCACACACCCAAGCUCCAGGAAUGGAACCCCCUCAGCAUCCUGCACCCCCACCGGUGAGAUUAUGCCCCGCUAGUCACCGUCAUGGCUGCCAGUGACGACCUCCUCUUCUCCGUCCUAGGGAAGAGGGAGACUAGCGCAUGUAUUUAUAUUUAGGACGCAAGCCCACCUUCUGGACACGAAGCCCAACCGCAGUCUAGUGGUAGCGCCCAUGAUCUUGAUCCAAGGAGACCCAGAUUCGAUCCCCCACCUACGCAAAUAAAACCAUCCAUUUUUUCUCUGUUAGUUGUAGAUCUGACAGUGGGCCCCUCGGCCCACAUGUCACCCCCUUGGGCCUUUGGUGUCUAUGGCCAAUGGGGCCCUAUGCAUUUUUUUAUUUAUUGAUUGUGAUGUUUUCUGUGUCUUGUAUUAAUUCGAAUUCAUUCCAUUUAGCGAUGACUCCAAAUAUGGACAUAGCCAAAUUUUGCAACUGCCACAUUUGGCAGAUUUUAACUUAUAAGUCGUAUGAUGAAUUUUGUAUAUAUGUUUUGUGUGGCUUUUCUCAUCGGAACAUGUGUGUGUGAUAUAUGAAAUUGGGUAGAAAAUCAAUGAAUCCAUUGGUGGAAUUGUUUCUAUCAAUGGAGCAACUUUUUGAAAAUGUUAUUUUGUGUGUAGAUGUCAUUUUGUGAUUUUUGUAUGAUUUAAUUCUUGCAUGAUAUAAUGAACUUGUCAACAUGGAAGUGGUAGUGUUUUGAGGGUACUAGGCCAUGGUAUUUUUCUUUGCCAUGAUAAGCUUGUAGUUUAUGGGUUUCUUGCUGUAAAGUUGCUUAGAAAAUGUUACUGUUUUCAUUGCUCAGAUAUUUCGAAGUAUAGAAUCUCUUAUUUUCUUACCAUGUUGUGUUGAUGAUUCCCACGAAUACAUUGCCCCUUUGGGGUUGGUCGAGUGGCAUGAAUUGUUGUGCUUGUUAACCUCUGUCAAUUGGUUCCUUCACCUUGCCAAAUAGGUUUUACAUAUUAGUUAUAUUUCCUGUCAAAGUUGCUAUUAUGUUGUAAAUUGUUGUCAUUUCGCCUUGCGAAUUUGACGAAGUGUGAGAAUCACUAGUUAUUGUCAUGCCAUGUUUAGGGGAUACUACCAUGUUUUCUAUGCACUUUAAGCUCAUGCUUAGUGCUAGUGUUUUGUAUUAGUUGUUGUCCUAUAUCCCCUUGCUAAAUUUCAUGUCAUUUUAUGAUUUUUGUAUGAUUUAAUUCUUGCAUGAUAUGAUGAACUCGUCAACAUGGAAGUUGUGGUGUUUUGUGGGUACUGGGCCCUGGUAUUUUUAUUUGCCAUGAUAAGCUUGUAGUUUAGUUCGUUUCUUGAUGUAAUGUAGCUAAGAAAGUGUUACUGUUUUCAUUGCUCAAAUAUUUUGAAGUAUAGAAUCUGUUAUUUUCUUGCCAUGUUGUGUUGAUGAUUCCCAUGAAUACAUUGGUCCUUUGGAGUUGGUACAAUGCCAUGAAUUGUUGUGCUUGUUAACCGCUGUCAAUUGGUGCCUUCACCUUGCCAAAUAGGUUUUGCAUCUUAGUUAUAUUUCCUUUCAAAGUUGCUAUGAUGUUAUAAAAUUUUGCAAUUUCCCCUUGUGAAUUUGACCAAGUGUGAGAAUAUGUAGUAUUGCCAUGCCAUGUUUAGGGGAUCCUACCAUGUUUUCUAUGCAGUUUCAGCUCAUGCUUAGUGCUAGUGUUUUGUAUUAGUUGUUGUUCUCUAUCACCUUGAUAAAUUUCAUGCCAUGUAACUUGAUGUAGAAUAGUGUUUUGUUGAUGUCAACAUGUCACCAGAUUAAAAAUUGCAGGUGCAAACUGAGAUUUACACUAAGUCCUAAGUUGUAAUAUUUCUUACCAUGUUGAGAGCUUAAUUGUCGUUGUUUCAUGAACCUGUCAAUAUUGCUAUUAGUUAGAGAUUAUCGUGAUCUUUGAUUUCUUCAUAUUCAUGCCUUGGUUGGACUUACUGAGUGGUUGUAGCUACUAGUUUGCACAUGAUCAAAGUGGUAUUUUGUUGUUCGUGGGCAGAUUGGUGGUGGUUUUGUUUUGUACCUUGUGUGAGUUGUGCUUAGUUAUUUCGCAUGUAUUUUAGAUCUCUUGCACCUAGAAUUUUUUGCCAUGUCCAUUGGCAUACUUGGAGUUCAAAGAAAAUGCACAUAGCUCCCUCUCAAAUGUUGUUUAGACAUUGUUGCCUCCCAUACAUUAUUUUGUGAUUCUGAGAGAUGCGUAGCUCGGUUUGCGACGAUCUUUAUACGUUUUUGCAAUAUUUUCUCAGGAUGCAUCCAUUUAUUCCAUGUUCAUGCAUGUCCAAAUAAAUAAACUUGAGUUUCUAUCCACAAUACUAACAACUUAAUAAAUGCAUGAGGAAGAUGACUAGUUAGCAUUGCCAUGAGACUUUCUUAACCACACUCAUGCAUCAUGUUAUUUGAAGCAUUGCACCAUGUCGUGUGUUUAUUGGAUGUGUAUUUUAUUUCAGUAGCAUCGGGAGCUGAGAACGAGUGCGAGGAUCACGUUGAGUACGUUCCUGAAGAGCAAGAGUUGUACCCGUCAGAAGAUCGAACAAGCAAGAUGAUUGUGACCUCGAUAUCGUCUCUAAUUUUGUUGUGCUUAGAUGACUCGUUUCCCUCGCUAUUUUAUCGCUGCCUACCACGUAAAAAUAAGCCUCCAAACAUUUCCAUGAACGCCUCUAACCCCUCCACUGCCUAGCAAAUAUUGCGAAGAUAGCGCUUGCUCGACCCUCUUAUAGCAUUGCUAGUUGCAGGUGCAGGAUGAUCCAUGUGUUAACAUGGGCUUUUGAAUAUCAUCUUAUUAUUGUUAUUUAAUUUAAUGCACAUAUAUACUUGGUAAUAGGCGGAAGGCUUGGCCUUUUGUUGGGUGUUUUGUUCUGCUUUUGCCGCCUUAGUUUCGGCUACCGGUGUCAAGUUCCAUAUUGAGCGCUCCUAACACACUCAGGGUUGUUAUGGGGACCCCCUUGAAACUCGUUUUGGUUAAGACUUGUCUGGCAAG